rnacentral:rRNA from 1 species
CAAUUUAAACAACGAAGAGUUUGAUCCUGGCUCAGGAUGAACGCUAGCGACAGGCUUAACACAUGCAAGUCGAGGGGCAGCGGGGGUAGCGAUACCCGCCGGCGACCGGCGCACGGGUGAGUAACGCGUAUGCAACUUGCCUAUCAGAGGGGGAUAACCCGGCGAAAGUCGGACUAAUACCGCAUGAAGCAGGGAUCCCGCAUGGGGAUAUUUGCUAAAGAUUCAUCGCUGAUAGAUAGGCAUGCGUUCCAUUAGGCAGUUGGCGGGGUAACGGCCCACCAAAC